UACGGAGGGUGCAAGCGUUAUCCGGAUUCACUGGGUUUAAAGGGUGCGUAGGUGGCUUUGUAAGUCAGUGGUGAAAUGCCGGAGCUUAACUCCGGAACUGCCAUUGAUACUGCUUAGCUUGAAUCACGUCGAGGUGGAUGGAAUAUUACAUGUAGCGGUGAAAUGCUUAGAUAUGUAAUAGAACACCGAUUGCGAAGGCAGUUCACUAGGCGUGUAUUGACACUGAGGCACGAAAGCGUGGGGAUCAAACAGG
rnacentral:rRNA from 1 species